rnacentral:rRNA from 1 species
GAUGAACGCUAGCGACAGGCUUAACACAUGCAAGUCGAGGGGCAGCAGGGGAGUAGCAAUACUCCCGCUGGCGACCGGCGCACGGGUGAGUAACACGUAUGCAACCUGCCCUUGUCAGGGGGAUAAGCGGAAGAAAUUCCGUCUAAUACCGCAUAACGCUGCGGGGAGACAUCUCCCUGCAGCCAAAGAUUUAUCGGACAAGGAUGGGCAUGCGGCGCAUUAGCUUGUUGGCGGGGUAACGGCCCACCAAGGCGACGAUGCGUAGGGGUUCUGAGAGGAAGGUCCCCCACACUGGUACUGAGACACGGACCAGACUCCUACGGGAGGCAGCAGUGAGGAAUAUUGGUCAAUGGCCGGGAGGCUGAACCAGCCAAGUCGCGUGAGGGAAGACGGUCCUAUGGAUUGUAAACCUCUUUUGUCAGGGAGCAAAAACUGCCACGCGUGGCAGGAUGAGAGUACCUGAAGAAAAAGCAUCGGCUAACUCCGUGCCAGCAGCCGCGGUAAUACGGAGGAUGCGAGCGUUAUCCGGAUUUAUUGGGUUUAAAGGGUGCGUAGGCGGACAGUUAAGUCAGCGGUAAAAUUGAGAGGCUCAACCUCUUCCCGCCGUUGAAACUGAUUGUCUUGAGUGGGCGAGAAGUAUGCGGAAUGCGUGGUGUAGCGGUGAAAUGCAUAGAUAUCACGCAGAACUCCGAUUGCGAAGGCAGCAUACCGGCGCCCAACUGACGCUGAAGCACGAAAGCGUGGGUAUCGAACAGGAUUAGAUACCCUGGUAGUCCACGCAGUAAACGAUGAAUACUAAUUGUUCGGGUCGAGUGAGAUCUGAGUGAUACAGCGAAAGCGUUAAGUAUUCCACCUGGGGAGUACGCCGGCAACGGUGAAACUCAAAGGAAUUGACGGGGGCCCGCACAAGCAGAGGAACAUGUGGUUUAAUUCGAUGAUACGCGAGGAACCUUACCCGGGCUCAAACGACACAGGAAUGAUCUGAGAAAUCAGGCAGUCCUUCGGGACCUGUGUCGAGGUGCUGCAUGGUUGUCGUCAGCUCGUGCCGUGAGGUGUCGGCUUAAGUGCCAUAACGAGCGCAACCCCCAUCGACAGUUGCCAGCAGGUCAAGCUGGGCACUCUGUCGAGACUGCCGGCGCAAGCUGUGAGGAAGGCGGGGAUGACGUCAAAUCAGCACGGCCCUUACGUCCGGGGCGACACACGUGUUACAAUGGCAGGUACAGCGGGAAGCCACCUGGCGACAGGGAGCGGAACCCGAAAGCCUGUCUCAGUUCGGAUUGGAGUCUGCAACUCGACUCCAUGAAGCUGGAUUCGCUAGUAAUCGCGCAUCAGCCACGGCGCGGUGAAUACGUUCCCGGGCCU